rnacentral:rRNA from 1 species
AGAGUUUGAUCCUGGCUCAGGAUGAACGCUAGCGACAGGCUUAACACAUGCAAGUCGAGGGGCAGCGGGGGCGUAGCAAUAUGCCUGCCGGCGACCGGCGCACGGGUGAGUAACACGUAUGUAACCUGCCCUAUGCAGGGGGAUAACCCGGAGAAAUCCGGCCUAAUACCGCGUAACACCUUAGGGGAGCAUUCUCUUGAGGUUAAAGGAGAGAUCCGGCAUAGGAUGGACAUGCGUCGCAUUAGGUAGACGGCGGGGCAACGGCCCACCGUGCCGACGAUGCGUAGGGGUUCUGAGAGGAAGGCCCCCCACACUGGUACUGAGACACGGACCAGACUCCUACGGGAGGCAGCAGUGAGGAAUAUUGGUCAAUGGCCGAGAGGCUGAACCAGCCAAGUCGCGUGAGGGAAGAAUGUCCUAAGGAUUGUAAACCUCUUUUGUCGGGGAGCAAAAAGGCUCUGCGGAGUCGUAUUGAGAGUACCCGAAGAAAAAGCAUCGGCUAACUCCGUGCCAGCAGCCGCGGUAAUACGGAGGAUGCGAGCGUUAUCCGGAUUUAUUGGGUUUAAAGGGUGCGCAGGCGGCGUGUCAAGCAAGCGGUAAAAUAGCGGGGCUCAACCCCGUCGAGCCGUUUGAACUGGCGCGCUUGAGUUCAGGCGAGGUAGGCGGAAUUCGUGGUGUAGCGGUGAAAUGCAUAGAUGUCACGAAGAACUCCGAUUGCGAAGGCAGCUUACCAGUCUGCGACUGACGCUCAGGCACGAAAGUGUGGGUAUCGAACAGGAUUAGAUACCCUGGUAGUCCACACAGUAAACGAUGAGCGCUAGGUGUCCGGGUCGCAUGAGACUUGGGUGCCCGAGCGAAAGCGUUAAGCGCUCCACCUGGGGAGUACGCCGGCAACGGCGAAACUCAAAGGAAUUGACGGGGGCCCGCACAAGCGGAGGAACAUGUGGUUUAAUUCGAUGAUACGCGAGGAACCUUACCCGGGCUCAAACGACUCAGGAAUAUAUUGGAAACGAUGUAGCCAGCAAUGGUUUGAGUCGAGGUGCUGCAUGGUUGUCGUCAGCUCGUGCCGUGAGGUGUCGGCUUAAGUGCCAUAACGAGCGCAACCCCUACCGCCAGUUGCCAACGGGUAAAGCCGGGAACUCUGGCGGGACUGCCGGCGCAAGCUGCGAGGAAGGCGGGGAUGACGUCAAAUCAGCACGGCCCUUACGUCCGGGGCGACACACGUGUUACAAUGGCAGGUACAGCGGGAAGCCACCUGGUGACAGGGAGCGGAACCCGAAAGCCUGUCUCAGUUCGGAUUGGAGUCUGCAACUCGACUCCAUGAAGCUGGAUUCGCUAGUAAUCGCGCAUCAGCCAUGGCGCGGUGAAUACGUUCCCGGGCCUUGCACACACCGCCCGUCA